rnacentral:rRNA from 1 species
GAUGAACGCUGGCGGCGUGCCUAAUACAUGCAAGUCGAGCGAACGGACGAGAAGCUUGCUUCUCUGAUGUUAGCGGCGGACGGGUGAGUAACACGUGGAUAACCUACCUAUCAGACUGGGAUAACUUCGGGAAACCGGAGCUAUCCCGGAUGAUAUUUUGAACCGCUUGGUUCAAAAGUGAAAGACGGUCUUGCUGUCACUUAUAGAUGGAUCCGCGCUGCAUUAGCUAGUUGGUAAGGUAACGGCUUACCAAGGCAACGAUGCAUAGCCGACCUGAGAGGGUGGUCGGCCACACUGGAACUGAGACACGGUCCAGACGCCUACGGGAGGCAGCAGUAGGGAAUCGUCCGCAAUGGGCGGAAGCCUGACGGAGCAACGCCGCGUGAGUGAUGAAGGUCUUCGGAUCGUAAAACUCUGUUAUGAGGGAAGAACAUAUGUGUAAGUAACUGUGCACAUCUUGACGGUACCGAAUCAGAAAGCCACGGCUAACUACGUG